UGUGGACCCUGUCCCUCCCAGCGCUUUGGUGGGUUCUGCGCCUGUCCGGGCUAGGGAGCGCGUCCCGAGCCAGGAUCUAAGGAUCUUAUGGUUCGCAAGACAAGGAGGAAUGGAGGGGUGUAUGGAAUGGGCAUCUAGGAACUACUUCUUGUUCGAAAGUUUACAGAGACCAAAAGUUUGAGCUGGCGCUGCGGAAGGAUCAGGCUUUGUGUGUAGCCGCCCUCUGCGACAUUUGGCCAGAAUUUGCAUUUCAAUAGUAGAGGAGGUACGGGUCUUGUGGGAAAGGAAAGCUGCACGGGGAACCAGCUCCAUCCUGGAGUUAGGUCUAGGACCGUGGGCAGGAGCAGCUGAAGUCAAGUUUGGGGGGAAUCCUGGGGCAGGAGUUUAAAUGUGGCGCCCUGGCAGCGUUGCGCGUGUCCUGUCCCUAGGGCUCCACUCCUGGGAGCUGUUUGGUCUCGGCUAUAGGCAUCAGGAGGAUUGAGGCCAGGCACUCUUAGCCAUGACUUCCGGAACGCUUGACCUUAAACGAUGAUGGCGUCGCGCCCGCAGCCUCUGUAGAAGGGAGUUCGGGGCUCCCUAAGGGAACUCCCCAAGGACUAGUGCCUUGCUGGACAGAUUGCGCUCUCGAUUCCCAGCAGGAACCCGAGUCUAGACGUUCCACGGUCACCCUUCUCACUGGUCCCUGGCUGUGUCCGACUUAGGUGGCCUGGGAAAGUGCAGAGUUCCAGUACAAUGACUGCUAGCGUCAACACAGCCUCUCAUGCUUUAUCUCCACCUUGAUGUUUGGACAUCCUGUGCUAAGCUGCUUAGCACUGGGCGUCCAAGAUGCCUUCCUUAUCCCUUUGCAGUUAAAGUUCAAUGGAAUCUGGAACGAACAACACCUCCCCAUCCUAAAACACGGUGCUUUGUCAGCAGGCAGCCUGACUUGGAUACAAAGAAGGCCUUAUCCUUCUGGAGUCUGGAGACCUGCGCUGACCUGGCGACAUCUGCCUACCUGCCAUCCCGUCUGUCCAUGGGUGUCUGUAUCUCUUCCACUGUCUUUGUCUAGCAAUGAGUAUGGCUGCACAGCAGACCAGCUGAACACAAA